CCCCCGCCCGCCAGAGGGAGCCACCGCCGAGAGCCGCCCGGCGCUGACAGGAGAAGCAAAACCAGAAGAGAGUGUUUUCUGGAGAAUUAUCCUGGUUUAUAUUUAGUCUGGAUUGAACUAUUUCAGUGUGCAGUCAUAUGUACACCCUUCUACUUGGCCCCAUCUUCACUGUGAGUUGCUGAGUGUUACUGCAGUUACAGAAAGCAACACGCAUGAAAGAACCUCUGAUGAAAGACACCGGACAAAGAUUUUAUAUCUCACUGAUUCAGUGUGAAACAAAAAAAAAAUAUCAAACUACAUCUCUCAUCUGAAAGAGGCAUGAAGACUUACAUCAUGCACAAAUACUUUAAGUUACCCACAAAAUCACUAUAAAGUAAAAUUAAAAGAUGAC